UUUCCCUGAUGAUUUUGAUACCGCCCCAGACUUACUUCAUCCUGAAUGAUUGGUUUUCACUGAAUGUUG